rnacentral:misc_RNA from 1 species
AAGUCGUAACAAGGUCUCCGUUGGUGAACCAGCGGAGGGAUCAUUACCGAGUUUACAACUCCCAAACCCAAUGUGAACAUACCUAUAUGUUGCCUCGGCGGACCGCCCCGGCGCCCUCGGGCACCGGAUCCAGGCGCCCGCCGCAGGAACCAAACCUCUGUUUUUGUUAAGAUUUCUCCUCUGAGUGGAUUUUACAAAUAAAUCAAAACUUUCAACAACGGAUCUCUUGGCUCUG